rnacentral:rRNA from 1 species
AUGAACGCUGGCGGCGUGUCUAAGGCAUGCAAGUCGAACGUUCCAAUUGCGAUUACAUCAAAGAUUGGAAAGUGGCAGACGGGAGCGUAACACAUUGGUAAUAUUCCUCGAAGUCGUGAACAACCUUGGGAAACUAGGGCUAAUACACGAUGGUCAAGGGGGGUCGAAAGACAUUCCCUUGUAAAGCUCAGGCGCUUCGAGAUUAGCCUAUGCCCUAUCAGCUAGUUGGUGAGGUAAAAGCUCACCAAGGCUAUGACGGGUCGGGGGCGUAAGAGCGUGACCCCCCUCACUGGGACUGAGACACUGCCCAGACACCUACGGGUGGCUGCAGUCAAGAAUAUUCGGCAAUGGACGAAAGUCUGACCGAGCGACGCCGCGUGCAAGAUGAAGCCCUUCGGGGUGUAAAUUGCUUUUUUCAGGGACGAACAAAUGACGGUACCUGAAGAAUAAGAGGUUGCUAACUCUGU